CCCUUAGAUGUUCUGGGCCGCACGCGCGCUACACUGAUGCAUUCAACAAGCCUAGCCUUGACCGAGAGGUCCGGGUAAUCUUUGAAACUGCAUCGUGAUGGGGCUAGAUUAUUGCAAUUAUUAAUCUUCAACGAGGAAUGCCUAGUAAGCGUGAUUCAUCAAAUCGCGUUGAUUACGUCCCUGCCUUUUGUACACACCGCCCGUCGCUCCUACCGAUUGAAUGUGUUGGUGAGGAGCUCGGAUUGGCAGCAGUUGGUGGUUCGCCACCGGCUAUUGCUGAGAAGUCCUCCAAACCGCCCCAUUUAGAGGAAGGAGAAGUCGUAACA
rnacentral:rRNA from 1 species